rnacentral:lncRNA from 1 species
GCGGGUGUACGUCCUUGCGUGCGUCUCAGGCAGCGCGCACGCCGGCGUGAGAGGGCACGGGGAAAAAGGUGGCUCUGGCCGGGGCGGCUCGGUUUCCUGGGGUUAUGUAGCAGGGCUCGUCGGCUCGCGAGACCUCCUGCUGCCCUCGCCCGCGUCCUAGCGCGGAGUUUUUGCUCCGGGCGGAGGCCGUAUUCAAGCCCGCCGCGCUCCCUCGACGUAGAGCUCUCUCGCUCGCCCGUGGGAGCGUCCCGGCCGAGCUGCGCUGAAGGGGGAGGGGAGGCCAUUUUGUCCCGACCGACUCCCCGGAACCGGGCGGAGCGGCUGGGAGAGGCUGCGGAGCCGCGGGCGCCGCCCCUCGGAGGCACGGGCGCCGCCACCGUCGGGGCUUCCUCGACGAGGCCGUUCGGAAGGUCUCCCGCUCCGUCUCGAGAGCUGCUUUCUCUCCCCGCACACGCUUCCCCGCUGCUGAGGCCCCAGAACGCCCGGGUGAGGAGUUGGCCGUAGUGAGCAGCACCGAUCCCUUGGGGCUACCGGCGGCGAGCGCCCGAGCCGCUCCUCCCAAUGGCGAAGAAGACGUACGACCUGCUUUUCAAGCUGCUCCUGAUCGGGGACUCGGGAGUGGGCAAGACCUGCGUCCUUUUUCGUUUUUCGGAUGAUGCCUUCAAUACCACCUUUAUUUCCACCAUAGGAAUAGACUUUAAGAUCAAAACAGUGGAACUACAAGGAAAGAAGAUCAAGCUACAGAUAUGG